ACUGCCGCCAAACUUGAUUGGCCACGUAGGCUAAUAUAGCAUCACCAACCAAAGAAUAAUAUGGUAACGACGAGUAGUCUUUAUUUAAGACCUUGUCCGGUUAGUAGAGGUGCAGAAAACAUCGAUGUUUUAACAGGCAAACAUCGAAAAACAUCGAUGUUUCUCCACCUCUACCGGUUAGUGAAUCAUCAGCAUCAGAGUCUAAAAGCGCAAAUAUGUUACAAACUGCUUAUUUGUCGGUGGCAGUGCCGCUAGCUCAGACUUUUCUCAGGGCAGAGUACCCCUAGUGCCACAGCUCGCAACAUAUUAUCGACAGCUCCGCUGUCUCACAUCACUAAACUAUCGGUCAUCACUGAGAACAAAAGAGCGAAAAGAAAGAUGCCCUUAAGAUGUUGCAAGGCACCACCCGUUCUCAGUCGGCAGGAGCCCCCUCCUCGCGACUACGACGGUUCCAUCUCCCCCACUGGGAACGCUUACUCACACAUUGUGGGGUUUACAAAUGUUUAAUGCAUAUGUAUGGUAAGUACAAUAUGUAUGGUAAGUGCAUGGUCACCCAAUCCUGAGGAGCUCCUGUGGAAAAGAAGGGACAGGUGAAAAAGGCAAACGACGAGGACAAAUAAGGCUCUCCGGUCUAAAUCUGGAUAAUUUCACAGUUAAACAGGGAAGUAUAUAUCAAUAUCAAUAAUCAAGGUUCACAUGUAUUUAAAUUUUUUCUAAAUUUCAGCCACUAUCGGGCCAGGCCUGGAGGGCGAUUAUAGCCCGGCUGAAGACUUCUCGCCGGAGGUCAGCGGCAACACGGGUCUCCACAAAGGAAAACUUGCGCACUAUGGUGAGUUGCGCAAGGGAAGCAGUUCGACUGCCAAACAAAAUGGCGGUACUUCUCAACUUUGCGAUGCGACGGCUGGGAGUUCCCAAAUGAGGUGGACGUGGUAGACCGGAACGGACUCACCGGGAAAUGCUCGAUGUCGUUGGCGUCGACUGCGAAAGGCGUUUGUGGCUGCUCGUCUGUGCGGGUCGAGCGGACACCGGUAGCUGGUAGCUAAGUCGAGGCUGGUUGUAUUACGAAGUCGCGCAGAAAUCCAUGGAACUCCCAAGUAAAUAUCCCGGGGCUCUU